GACGAACGCUGGCGGCGUGCUUAACACAUGCAAGUCGAACGGAAAGGCCCUGCUUGCCGGGUACUCGAGUGGCGAACGGGUGAGUAACACGUGGGUGAUCUGCCCUGCACUUCGGGAUAAGCCUGGGAAACUGGGUCUAAUACCGGAUAGGAGCCAUUUUUAGUGUGAUGGUUGGAAAGUUUUUUCGGUGUAGGAUGAGCUCGCGGCCUAUCAGCUUGUUGGUGGGGUAAUGGCCUACCAAGGCGGCGACGGGUAGCCGGCCUGAGAGGGUGGACGGCCACAUUGGGACUGAGAUACGGCCCAGACUCCUACGGGAGGCAGCAGUGGGGAAUAUUGCACGAGGGGCGCAAGCCUGAUGCAGAGACGCCGCGUGGGGGAUGACGGCCUUCGGGUUGUAAACUCCGUGCGCUAGGGACGAAGCUUUUUGUGACGGUACCUAGAUAAGAAGCACCGGCUAACUACGUG
rnacentral:rRNA from 1 species